AAAUAAGAAACAAUUAUUGUAGUUAGUUUCGACCUAAAAUUUAGAUGGCACCAUCCUUAUUUU
rnacentral:tRNA from 1 species